rnacentral:rRNA from 1 species
GUAGUCAUAUGCUUGUCUCAAAGAUUAAGCCAUGCAUGUCUAAGUAUAAGCAAUCUAUACAGUGAAACUGCGAAUGGCUCAUUAAAUCAGUUAUCGUUUAUUUGAUAGUACCUUACUACUUGGAUAACCGUGGUAAUUCUAGAGCUAAUACAUGCUAAAAACCCCGACCUCUGGAAGGGGUGUAUUUAUUAGAUAAAAAACCAAUGUCUUCGGACUCUUGGGUGAUUCAUGAUAACUUUACGAAUCGCAUGGCCUUGCGCCGGCGAUGGUUCAUUCAAAUUUCUGCCCUAUCAACUUUCGAUGGUAGGAUAGUGGCCUACCAUGGUUUCAACGGGUAACGGGGAAU